GGCGGACGGGUGAGUAACGCGUGGGUAACCUGCCUCACACUGGGGGACAACAGUUAGAAAUGACUGCUAAUACCGCAUAAGCGCACAGGACCGCAUGGUCUGGUGUGAAAAACUCCGGUGGUGUGAGAUGGACCCGCGUUUGAUUAGCUAGUUGGUGGGGUAACGGCCUACCAAGGCGACGAUCAAUAGCCGACCUGAGAGGGUGACCGGCCACAUUGGGACUGAGACACGGCCCAA
rnacentral:rRNA from 1 species